CCCCAAGAGAGAGGAAGUUCCAGGUUCCUUGCACCACCUUAAGGAAGGUGGAGCUGGUCCAGGAGGCUCCCUGCCCCACCCUAAGAAGAGUUGCUGGGGAGGGAGUGGAAUCUGGGAAGACAGAAGGACUGAGAGAGAAAAUCUGGCUGAAGAGAAGUGUUGAAGAAAAGAGAUCAAUCAGGAAGAGCACCUGGAGAAGGCACAAGGCGCAGAGACUUGUGAAAAAGCUGUGCUUGCUUCUUGGCCUUUGACUGGUUCCAGGGACUUGGAGAACAUGGAAGGAGACACUUGAAACAGACCUGGACACACAGCACCUCCAGACUGGGGAAAGACAGUGAUUCUGGCCAAUUGGAAUAGUACAUUGUCUGAUCACAGUAAUGGGGCUUUCCUAGAUCUCCCAGAUAUUAUCUCAUUCACAUAUUCAUGAAGUCCUCUGAAAUAGUUUGAAUGGUCAUGAUGGCCCCCAAUGCUGAUGAUGAAUUUAUUUCAAGGUUUUGAAUAACUUAAUAUUACACAACUGCUUAAUAGCAAAUAAAGGUUACAUAAUCCAAAGAAUACCAAAAAUGCAGAGAUUAUCACGUAGCCACUAACUACAAAUGUUGAAUAAGUACUGUUGUAUAUUUAUA